GGUAGGGUGGCUGAGAACUAGGCGGUGGAUUGUAGCCCCAUAGACAGAGGUUUAAGUCCUCUUCCUAUCA
rnacentral:tRNA from 1 species